UACGUAGGGGGCAAGCGUUGUCCGGAAUCAUUGGGCGUAAAGAGCGUGUAGGCGGUCCGGUUAGUCGGCUGUGAAAGUCCAGGGCUCAACCCUGGGAUGCCGGUCGAUACUGCCGGACUAGAGUCCGGAAGAGGCAAGUGGAAUUCCCGGUGUAGCGGUGAAAUGCGCAGAUAUCGGGAAGAACACCCGUGGCGAAGGCGGUUCUCUGGGACGGUACUGACGCUGAGACGCGAAAGCGUGGGGAGCAAACAGG
rnacentral:rRNA from 1 species